ACGGGAGGCAGCAGUGGGGAAUAUUGGGCAAUGGGCGAAAGCCUGACCCAGCAACGCCGCGUGAAGGAAGAAGGUCUUCGGAUUGUAAACUUCUUUUAUCAGGGACGAAGAAAGUGACGGUACCUGAUGAAUAAGCCACGGCUAACUACGUGCCAGCAGCCGCGGUAAUACGUAGGUGGCGAGCGUUAUCCGGAUUUACUGGGUUUAAAGGGAGCGUAGGCGGAAGGUCAAGUCAGCUGUGAAAUGUAGUCGCUCAACGUCUGCACUGCAGUUGAAACUGGCCUCCUUGAGUGCGUAAGAGGCAGGCGGAAUUCGUCGUGUAGCGGUGAAAUGCUUAGAUAUGACGAAGAACUCCGAUUGCGAAGGCAGCUUGCUGGGCCGCAACUGACGCUGAAGCUCGAAGGUGCGGGUAUCGAACAGGAUUAGAUACCCUGGUA
rnacentral:rRNA from 1 species